rnacentral:lncRNA from 10 species
ACUGUCUCUCUCUCUCCUGCUGCCUAGUGAAGGUACUUGCUACUUCUUCUGCCAUCACUGUAAGUUUCCUGAGGCUUCCCCUGCCAUGUGGAACUGUAAGUCAAUUAAACCUCUUUCCUUUAUAAAUUACCCAGUCUUGGGUAUUUCUUUAUAGCAGUGUGAGAAUGAACUAAUACAAGAGGUCUUCACAUCUUCCCUGCAUGGCCCUGGUGAGUUGUGGUCAGCUGUUGUAUAGCAGGAGGGAGGUGGGCUCAGUCCCCUUCCUUGGUGCUUUCUGAAAAGGUUGCCCAAAAGAAUCCUGCUUUCACUCGCCACAUGAUGCCCUGGUUUUUUUUUUUUUUGUCUCUCUCUCUCUCUCUGAAUUCCCUUGACUUCCUUUAUGUAAGAGCCAGCAAGCAAGGGGACAAGGAGGCCAAAUUGGCUAUACCUUGUGUUACUCAAUCAGGAAAUUUCUGGAAAACAGCAUUUCAGUAAAUGGGAUCUUGAAAUGCUAAGUGUGAUACCUUUUUGUUAUUGUUGUUUUUGCAUAAUCCUUAGAAGGAUCUGACCACCAUAGACUGAGGUCUGUGCUGUUCUGAAACCACUCAGAACCAAAGAGUGGCUGGGCUUGGUGGCUUACACCUGUAAUCCCAGCACUUUUGGGAGGCUGAGAUGGGAGGAUCGCUUGAGCCCAGGAGUUUGAGACCAGCCUGGAAAACAUAGGAAGACCCCCAUCUCUACAAAAUUAAAAAAAAAAUUAGUUGGGCAUAGUGGUGUGUGCCUGUAGUCCCAGCUACUUGGGAGGCUGAGGUGGGAGGAUUGCUUGAGCUUAGGAGUUUGAGGUUACAGUGAGCUAUGAUUGUACCACUGCAAUCCAGCCUGGGUGACAGAGUGGGACCCUGUCUCUUAAAAAAAAAAUACAAAGAACAUUCAUGAUCCAGAGAAGGAAGCCUUGCACCUUGUGUUAGAGAGCACAUUUUGUAUUUUGAGCUGCUUUUUCUAUAGCCUGGGGCCUGAUUGAUUUUGGGUUCAGCCUAACAUCUUGGCCUGGGGUCUUGUGGAGAGUUGAGGGACUUAAACAAUUCAGAUCCGAAGCCCUUGUGUGUGUGUGUGUGUGUAUGUGUGUUUAGCACUGACCUUCCAUCUGUUGACAAUCAAAUACUGAACCUAUUAAGAGCGGCAGGUCCCCAAGCAGGGAGGAAGGAAGGAAUUUCCCAUAAUCUCUGGAGACAAAGGGCCUUUUGACUGCACCUGGGGGUGAAUGGGGACCAGCCCGGGUCAGACGGAGCUGGGGAUCAGAUGAGCGGGAGAGCAGCAGGUGGGGGUGUGUGCACGCACCUAGCUGAGUUCUGAUUUGCCACAUGAAGGGGAGUUGGGAGAAGGAGAACAUAAUAGAGACUGAUUAGUCCUGAGAGACUCCAGAAUCAGACACAUGGGCCCCUGCCUGGUCUCCCUGAGCCCCCUGUAUUUUCUCUUUCCCAUCGUCUGUGCCUGUCUCUUUGCCUUUCUCUCCCACUAGCCUUUCAGUUUCUUGAGAGCAGGGGCUGUGUCUCCUCAUGUUUGAAUGGCCCAGCAUAUAGCAAACACUCAGCAAGCAUUCAUGGAGUAAGUACAGAGACCCAGAAAGAGGAGUGCUCAGAAUAGGACCACAACUCACGCCCACAGAGCCUUUGCAUGAAUUAGAAAAAUGUCACCCUUACAGGCAGACACAGCUCAGUGGGCAUACAUAGUUUGGUAAGCGAAGAACCCCUCUCUUGGCCAAGUGUACUGUACAAGGUACGUUCUGAACAAGUACACACAGUGGUCAUCCCUAUGGCGUAGGUAUCAGGGAUGAUGUCUCAGGACCCAGCCUUAGGGACACUUUAGGCUGUGCUGUGCUGAUGGGUGCUGGUCUCUCAGGGAGGCAGGAGAUGGCUAAAGGCAACAUCCUACCCCAGGUAACAACGCCCCCAACCUUAAGAUCCGCAUACGGGCAUUCGCCUCCGACAGCCUUGUCCAGUCUCCUCUUCCAGGGCCCUCUCUCUGCCCUGUCCGUUUAUAUUAUUCUCUGGCUGUUCUCCUUCUGCAUUGGACAUUUGGUCCCCACUGGGGCUUAUUUUGGCACAUCUUUAGUAGAGAGUUUACAGUAAUCUUUUGGUUCAUCCAGACCUCAGUUGAAAUCCUGGUUCUGCCCCUAACCCACUGUGAGCUCCUGGGAAGAUGUUUUAAUUCUCCAAAGAAGUCAUCUCAGCUGCACAAUGGGGACAUGUUGAGGUUAUGUGGUGAUGCCUCUGCAGGGCUCAGUAUGUGUUGGACAGAGAAGCCGCUUCCUGAAAGCUCCGUGAGUCUGUACCAGAGAUGGUGGCCCUGAAACCCACUUUGAGGGGUUCCUGCUUUACCAUUUCUUUAGAUUCCAUUUCUUGGGGGUGGCCUCUACAGGGAGCCUUCUGGAAUGCAAUUCCUAGAGUGCUUCCUGAGAACUCCAGGGUGAACUGCCCUAGACAGAUCUCUCUGGAGAAUGGGGGAAGGGUGCUGCCAAACUUCAGCAGGUUCCUGGGACUGAUGUGACCUCAGGAGUGGCUAGAGGCCCUGGCUAUGACGGGUCCCCUCCCACAGGCCUUCCACCCACCCCAACUGUCUCUCCCUUGUAUUAGGAAGACUGGGGUCGCUGACUUUAUCAACGGAAGUGAGCUGAAAUUGCAGUGAAGAUUCUGCCUCUACAUAAGGAAAAUCUCGACAGUCAUGCAGAGCCAGAAAUGUCCUUAGAAAGUGUCUAGUCCUUCCCCCUUUGCUUUGCAAAUCAGAAAACAGGACCCGGGAGGUUAAGAAAUUUGUUUAAGGCUCAGUACCCCUUCUGCUAUAUCCCAGGGCCUCCCUUAACUGUGAGAUUGUUUACACUCUAAACUUGCCCUGCCAUGGGAUUGUGUUAUAAAAAUUGUUGAAAAUGUGAUAGCAACCCAUGUUUAAGUUUCUGAGGGGUUGCAGGAAGGCCUUGCCCAAUCCCGCCCCUCCCCUUCAUGACCACAUUCGUCUCCCACUCUUCUCCCUGCAGACCAUCUCUGAUCGUCACACACACAGGCACCACUUUCAUUCUUGUUUGCAGGUGCUUGUUUCAGAUGGCUUGGGGCUAGAACCCAGGGAAGCAAAGGGAGCCAGCGUUAGCUGGGGGCCCACUGUGUGAUGGAUAUUAUGGUAGAUUCUUCACACAUAUAAAUGUCCUCAUUUAAUCCUCCCAAGCACCUUAAGGUCAGCUGAGAAUUGUUAUAAUGGAUGGUUAUUGAUUUAAUGAUUAAAUGAAUGGAAGGAUGACUUACUGUUAAUUAUAUAAUACUUAUUAUUUUGCUUGGCCCAUAUCAUCUGCAUUGCUCUGAAGGAUUCUCAUCCUUUUGCUCCUUUUCCUCCUGUUUUCUUAUCCCUGUGGUACCUAUUCUGAACGAACCAUAAGCCUGUGGAUCUAGUGAGAGAAACACAUUCGUAUCUCUGUUGAUUUGUUGAUUUGAAGAACCCAAACCUCAGAGUAUAAGAAGAAGAUUUGGUGUAUUUCUCAACUCACAAAUCCUGCAAUCCUAGCAUAUAAACAAUAAUCUGUAUAUUCUUAGCUUUCCAGAGAGACAGUGGGACAGGUCAAAGGAGUGAGUGAUUCUUCUUCCUUCUUCAUGGAUGUUACAUUUCCAUCAAGUGGGUGAUAGAAAAUUACCCUAUACAGAGUAGAAUAACAUACUGUGUCUGGGUAAGGAUGUGUUUCUAUUUCUAUUUCUUUUUUUUUUUUUGAGACAGAGUACAACUCUGUCACCCAGGCUGGAGUGCAGUGGUGCAAUCUCAGCUCACUGCAACCUCUGCCUCCCGAGUUCAAGCGAUCCUCCUCCCUCAGCCUCCUGAGUAGCUGGGACUACAGGUGCGUGCCACCACGCCUGGCUAAUUUUUGUAUUUUUAGUAGAGAUAGGGUUUCACCAUGUUGGCCAGGCUGGUCUUGAACACAUGACCUCAGGUGAUCCACCUGCUUCGGCCUCCCAAAGUGCUGGGAUUACAAGCCUGAGUCACUGUGCCUGGCCUGUGUUUCAAUUUCUAUUUUGGCCAGCUAUUUGUAUGAUUUAUACUGACCCUUCCUGUUUCAGUUUAUUCAGCUAUAAAAUGAGGCUAUACUUUCUGCUUAGUUGGCUUCAAGGUUGUGAUUUUCAAAAGAUUUUGCCUUGUUUCAGCUGAUUUUGUAUGGUAUGCUGGGAAAAGGUGCAUAGGAGAAGGAUGAGUUGAUAGACUUCAGUUCUAGUCUGAAAUCAACUUCAUACUUGAUCUUCCAUUCUUGACUCCAGAAGGUUCCCUGUAAAGUCCACCGUUCAAGAUGGAUCUGCCAUUUCUCCACUUGCAAAAUGGAAAUAAGAAUGAUCUCUAUUACACUAUCUUUGUAUGUGAUUGUAGAUACUGAAAUGAAUUGUUAGAAACAAAAGUGCUUGAGAAUGAUAAAGUGCUACCCGUGCCAAGCGAGGGCUAAUAAUGAUAAUGCCAGUUGCUCAUUCUGCAAAAGUUUCUUUAGCUUGUGGAUGACUCAUUUGAAAAUGGAAAUUAUGUGGUUCUGUUUAUUUGCUUCAUAUUUUGUGAUUUAGUUCUCAAUUUGGCACACAGGCAGACAGUUUAGGAGGAUCCAACUAUUUUCAACAAAUACUGUUAUUAUUUCCUAAAGCCUCGGUCUCUGGGCAGUUUGAAAUGUUGGUCCAAGUUCACCUAUAGGCAAGGGGUAUUUGUUGAGCCUCAGAGGGAAGAGAAGCUUUUUUCCAAGGUGGGACUGGGGUGCAGCAAGGGAAAGCAGAGACAGACAAGAAGAGGAAGAAGGUGCCAAGAAUUAGAGCUUGUCCAUGGAGGCAAGCCAGAGAUGAAUUAAUCAUGACAUGCUGAAAAAAAAACAAAAAAAACAAAAAAAAAAACCAAAAAAAAAAACCCAACAAAAACCCCCACAGCAAACAAAUGAUCCUGGCUUUCAUUUACCAGUCAAUCAAAUGGCAAAGAAACCUUAUGCCUCUGUGAUGAGGAAACCAGAUCUUUCAUCCAGUUGGGUCUGCUGUGAGUCAAGGGGAAGAGACAGUGUAAUGACCAGGCUUGACCAUGACCAUUUGGCUUGCAGCAAUCAUCAGAGCCUUGGACUGCAGUGAGAAAGACCCAAGGAUGAGCAGGGAGCCACACGCACUGCCUCAUGCUCUGUGCAAUGUAAACAGUGGUACAUCUGGGCACCUCAUGUUCUUAUACCUUGGAGUGGAGUAGAAACCAGCCUGUGCAAAGAUGAGCCAAGCCUGGGGAGUGAUUUGGAAGAAGCAGCAGAUGAUGAAAAUGUUUAGAUAGGGCAGUGUCUCCUCCAGAAAGGGGGCGCAGGGUUGCAUAUUUCCAUAGACCUGAGGGUUGCAAUCUUUCUAAAGCAGCCUGCUCUGGCUUCAUUCACUCUCUGGCAAUGGGGAGUGAAAAUGGGGAAGAAAUCUGAGUAGUGUUGGUGGUGGUGGUGAUGGUGGCAGUAUCCAUAGAAGCUGUGUGGGGAGUUUAUUGACCAAGGCAGACGAAGUGUGAUAGUAGUUACUGUUCCUGUCUGCCAAGCACACAUGCAUUCUCCUUCCCUCUCUCUAGUAGCACAAACUGCCUUCCAUGUAGCUGGGUCUACAUCAGUCCCAACACUGCCUUUUCCUGGCCAUAUGAUUGGCUAAGGAAUUAGCAUAUGUCCCAACCAGGGCCAAUUGGAGUCCUUCCCUGAGAUCGAUAUAUGGAUGCUGGGAGAAAAAAACUGGCCUGCCUUCUGGUGAGAGAGUUAAGCUUUGAAGCUGUAGUUUUGGAGUUUCUGGUGGUGAGCUUUCUCACUUCAUGGAGAAGGCCUGUCCACUGCAGGAAAGAAUAAGAUCAUCAUUCAGAGUAGCCGAGCUGAGAGAUAAAGAGCCUGAUGACAUCAUUUCAAUCCCUGGAUCCAAUCAUGAUAGAGGCUAGAUGUGUCCCUACUUUCCCAGUUAAAUGAAACCCAAAAGUCUUUCUGUUUGUAUAAGCAUAUUUGAGCUGGGUUUCUGUCACCUGAACCUAGACAGUCUGGAGGAGGACAGUGUGGAGGCAGGGUCAGGGGAAGGCAGGAUUGAGCAGGAGAGAAGUCAAAGGGAAGGAAGCAUGAGUAGUAGCCUUCUGUAGGAAGCUGGGAGCUCACUCUGGUUUUCUGAGGCUUCAUGAAGCCUGAGCUCUGAGAAAGGACGCUCACUGUAGAAAGACACCUCUGCUUUUGUUGAGGAAUCAGUCCCUGGCUCCUGGAAUGUGGAUAUCUACAUAUAUUCAGGUUCUGUACCUCCGUCCCCUGCCAGGCCACUCCUUGGCCAACCAAAAAAACCCAUGAGGAAUGUCAUUAGUUAAGAUGCUGAGGUUAGGCAGGUGAGCUUGAGAGUCAGACAGACUUUGAUUUCUAACCUCAGUCCUUACCAGCAGAAUGGCCUUGGACAGAUGACUUAAGCUCUCUACCACAGUUUCCUUGUCUCUCAAAAGAGGCUGAUAGUUAGAGCCAUCUCAAAGGAUUGUUGUGAGAAUCCAGUCAGCCAAUGGAUGCCCAGAGCUUUGCACCAUGGGAAACACCCAAUGGUAAUGGCUAUUCAAUUCCCAUGAAUGGGGGAAUGUAUGAGGUGGAUUAUGAGACCCCCAGCAAUUCAGUGCAUGAAGGCGAUAAUAUGGAAGAACCCCAUUAGUAUACUGUUAAGAUUUUUUUGAGUGAUAAAAUUUUCGAAAAAAGUUUACUUAAUUUUUUUUUUUAAAAAAGGAAGUUGGAAGGCAUAUACUCCAAAUAAUGGAAAUCAGGGACAAAAAGAGAUACUUAUAUGCCCACAUUCAUAACAGCUUCAUUCACAAUAGCUAAAAGGUAGGAGCAACCCAUGUGUUCAUCAGUAGAUGAGUGGAUAGGUGACAUGUGGCCUAUAAAAUAAAUAAUGUUCAGCCUUAAAAAGGAAGGAAAUUCUGACACAUGCUACCACCUGGGUGAACCCUGAAGACGUUAUGCCAAGUGAAAUAAGCCAGUCACAAAAGGACACAUAUUAUGUGAUUUCACAGAAAGCAGAAUGAUGGUUUCCAGUGGCUGAGGGGAAGGGAGAAGGGGGAGUUAUCAUUUAAUGGCUAUAGAGUUCCAGUUUAGAAGGUUAAAAUGAGUUCUGUGGAUGGAUGAUGGUGAUGGCUGCAUAAGUGUGAGGGACUGUACUUAAUGCCAUGGAACUGUAUCCUAAAAAAUGGUUAAGAUGGUAUUUUACUAUAAUUUAAAAAAUAAAAGAAGACAUUAGAGCCAUAUGCAUAGUCAGAAUGCAUUUUUAUUUUAAUGAAAGUAUUAGGUUGGUGCAAAAGUAAUUGCAGUUUUUGCCAUUACGUUCAAAUACAUACAUUUUGUAUAAGUAUGGUGGGCAGAGGAAAGAAGGAGGAAUGGACUGCAUGCCAAAUUGUUUACACUGCCUCUAUGUGGGAUUGGGGGACUGGAGGGAGAGGUGUCACUUUAGAUACCUUAGUAUUGUCUACAAAUUAUUACAAUGAUCAAAUAUUCUUGCCAUUUCAAUGACUAAUAUUAGAUUAUAAUCAUUUGCAUCGAACUUUUACACUUCGAAAGUGCCUUUGUGGCGUAUAAAAUGGUGCGGCCAUUUGGAAAACAGCUUGGCAGUUCUUCAAAUGGUUGAACAUAGGCUUCACAUACAAUCCAGCAGUUUCUCUCCUAGAUAUACACUGAAGAAAGCUGAAAACAUCUGUCUACACACAAAUGUGCACAUGAAUGUUCAUAAUAGCAUUAUUCAUAAUAACCAAAAGUGCAAAGAGCUCAAAUGUCCAUCAACUGAAUGACAAAUGAACGGAUAAACAAAAUGUGGCAUGUCCAUAUGAUGGAAUAUUAUUCAGCACUAAAAAGGGAUGAUACACUGACAUGCUACAACAUGGAUGAAACUUGAAAACAAUGUGCCAAGUGAGAGAGGCCAGACACAAAAAGACCACAUAUUGUAGGAUUUCGUUUAUAAGAAAUGUCCAGACGAGGCAAAUCUAUGGAGAUAGAAAUUAGAUUAGGGGUUGCCAGCGGUUGGGGAAACUGGAGGACAGAAAAAGCCAAUGGGUGUGAAUUUUUUUUAAUUGCAGUAAUGACAAUGUCCUAAAAUUGAUGGAGGUGAUGGAAGCAUAACUCUGUGAUUCUACCAAAGCUAUUGAAUUGUACACUUUCAAUGGGUGAAUUGUACAGUAUGUGAAUUAUAUCUCAACAAAGCAGUUAUAAAAACAAAACAAAAUCACAAAAUCUCUUUAUAAGUCAUACAAUUGGUUACUUAUACCAAGCUUAGGAGGCCAAAAUUAAAUGAAGAAAUACACCUAAAGAGGCUUCAGAUCUCUGGAGAAGGUUAAGUAUGACAAAGCCUUGGCCUGGACUGGCAUACUUUUUCAUAAUCCCCACCAGUAAAAAUACCCCACGAAAGACAAGGUCAAAAGUCUCUGAGGGAGACAGCAACCCAAAUGUUAUGUUCCUCAGCGAAAAAAUCAACAAACUGGUACAUCCACACAACAGAACACUACUCAGCGAUCCAAAGAAACACGUGACUCACACACGUGGCAACCUGGGCGAUCUCAAAUGCAUCCUGCCGACAGAAAGAAGCCAGUUUAGAAGUCUAGAUGCCACAUGACUUCAUUUAUAGGACAUCCUGGAAAGGGCAAAACCAUAGGGAUGGACCACAGAUCAGUGGUGGCCAGGGGGUUGUGGGGUGAGGGGAGGGUUUGAUUUUCAAAGGGGAACAAAGGAACAUUUUGGAAUGACAAUUUCUAUAUCUUGACUCUGGUGGUGGUUACAUAA